rnacentral:rRNA from 1 species
CAGUAGCCGCGGGAAUACGUAGGUGGCAAGCGUUAUCCGGAAUUAUUGGGCGUAAAGCGCGCGCAGGCGGUUUCUUAAGUCUGAUGUGAAAGCCCACGGCUCAACCGUGGAGGGUCAUUGGAAACUGGGGAACUUGAGUGCAGAAGAGAAAAGCGGAAUUCCACGUGUAGCGGUGAAAUGCGUAGAGAUGUGGAGGAACACCAGUGGCGAAGGCGGCUUUUUGGUCUGUAACUGACGCUGAGGCGCGAAAGCGUGGGGAGCAAACAGGAUUAGAUACCCCAGUAGUCCCUGUCUCUUAUAC